rnacentral:rRNA from 1 species
GAUGAACGCUGGCGGCGUGCCUAAUACAUGCAAGUCGAGCGAACAGAUGAGGAGCUUGCUCCUCUGACGUUAGCGGCGGACGGGUGAGUAACACGUGGAUAACCUACCUAUAAGACUGGGAUAACUUCGGGAAACCGGAGCUAAUACCGGAUAAUAUAUUGAACCGCAUGGUUCAAUAGUGAAAGACGGUUUUGCUGUCACUUAUAGAUGGAUCCGCGCCGCAUUAGCUAGUUGGUAAGGUAACGGCUUACCAAGGCAACGAUGCGUAGCCGACCUGAGAGGGUGAUCGGCCACACUGGAACUGAGACACGGUCCAGACUCCUACGGGAGGCAGCAGUAGGGAAUCUUCCGCAAUGGGCGAAAGCCUGACGGAGCAACGCCGCGUGAGGGAUGAAGGUCUUCGGAUCGUAAAACUCUGUUAUUAGGGAAGAACAAAUGUGUAAGUAACUAUGCACGUCUUGACGGUACCUAAUCAGAAAGCCACGGCUAACUACGUG